AAGACUAUGACGUUGAUAGGUCGGGUGUGUAAGUGUAGCGAUACAUUGAGCUAACCGAUACUAAUGAACCGUGAGGCUUAACCUU
rnacentral:rRNA from 1 species